rnacentral:rRNA from 1 species
CCUACGGGAGGCAGCAGUGAGGAAUAUUGGGCAAUGCCCGAAAGGGUGACCCAGCAACGCCGCGUGGAGGAUGAAGUCCUUCUGGACGUAAACUCCUUUUAGAGGGGACGAAAAGCCCGAUUUGUCGGGAAUUGACGGUACCCUCAGAAAAAGCACCGGCUAACUACGUGCCAGCAGCCGCGGUAAUACGUAGGGUGCAAGCGUUGUCCGGAUUCACUGGGUGUAAAGGGUGCGCAGGCGGGCUCUUAAGAAAAAGGUGAAAUCUCUCGGCGUAACCGAGAAAUUGCCUUUGAGACUGAGAGCCUAGAGGACGGGAGAGGGAGAGGAAAUUCCAGGGGUAGGGGUGAAAUGCGUAGAUAUCUGGAGGAACACCGGAGGCGAAGGCGGUCUCCGGGCCCGUUACUGACGCUCAGGGACGAAAGCGUGGGGAGCAAACAGGAUUAGAUCCCCGGGUAGU